AUUAUUUUUUGUGUAGGCAUAAAAAUGUCUGAAAAUCAAUAUUAUAUUAAAUAUUAAAAACUUACCCUUAAUAACAAUACUUGCAUAUUUUGCUCUGCAAAUCGUCUAGCAAUACAAGAUCUAGGACCAUGACCAAAAGCCAUCUUUCUGGUAUAAACAAGUCUGGUUUGUUAAAGUAUUCAGGAAGACGACAAGUGACUUGGUUUUGUGUUACAA